rnacentral:SRP_RNA from 1 species
GCUGGGCAUGGUGGUGUGUGCCUGUAGUCCCAGCUACUCAGGAGGCUGAGGCAGGAGGAUCACUUGUGCCUGGGAGGUCAAGGUUGCAGUGAGCUUUGAUCACACCACUGCACUCUAGUCUGGGUGACAGAGUAAGACCCUGAUCACACCACUGCACUCUAGUCUGGGUGACAGAGUAAGAUCCUGUCUCAA